CGUCAUGCUCUCCCUUUGAUCCACUAUCCUGUAUGUCGGUGCAAAGGAAAGAAAGCAAAUCCCUUCAUGUCUCCUCACAUGGGCAAGAUCAUUGUUAGAUUUGACCGGAUUAAAUUGUCCCAGUCGAAUCUCGCUGCGCUCCAGAGGAGAAAGGAAAGGACAUUAUAUCUCACGGGCAUUUGGACAAGGCGAUGGUGGCGGAAGGGAGAGUGGUGGCCACCAAUUUCCUCUUUCCUAUCCUAUCUCUUUAUUUAUUUUUAAUUUUAUUUUUCUCUUAGUUUGGUCUAUAUUGUAAGAGUUCUUUAAGUGAUUUACAUUAUGCACACCCCUCUUUCCUAUCCUGUCUAUUUAUUUAUUUAUUUAUUUUUUUUUCUCUCUUAGUUUGGUGAGUUCUUUAAGUGAUUUUUGAUUUAUAUUAAUGCGUAUUUUGGGAUCUGUGAGAUGGAGUAAAUGGUGUGCCAAGAGAACCUUCCCUGAUGAUGUACUCCAGCGACGCACCAGAGGAUUUCAGUCCUUGCUUAGAGUUACCCACGCAGAGCAACAGAAGGGGUUUUAUCAACGACUGAAGAGUCCCAAAGAGUGGCAGGAAAGAAGUGACAUUAGAGGAGCAAGGGUGGGAAUAUGGCAUCAGGAGGGGGAAGGGGGAACACAGAAUGUCGAACUUUCUACCUACCCUACCUAACAUUUUAGUAAAGAAAUGAAGUGGAGAACUUCACUCUAGAAUUAGUGUUGCUUUUAAGCUGCACUGCUGAUUGUUUCUAGUUGAGUUGUAAGUGUAAAGAUGAAUUUCCCCUCUAUUCCUGUUUCCUGCCAGUCUCGAAUCAACGUUGUUUUGCGCCAAGAUGCUGAUACUCGGCCGCUUAAGCUUAAAGCAUUGAAAAGAUGAAAUCUUCCGCCAUUUUAAUACCUUGUUUCUCCGUCUUCUGA